UAAUAAAAAUACUUGUUUGUUCAGUUAUAACAUAUUUAAUUUGAAAAAUAAUUUAUUAUUUAAGUAAAUUUUAAUAAAAUAAUUGUAAAUUACUAUAGUGUAUUAGUACAGUGAUGGAAUGUAAAUAAAAAUUUAUAAAUAUAGAAUGUUUAAAAUACUAUACCUUGUGUAUUAGGGAAAUUUAAUAUAAAUUAAUAAACUUAAGUAUCUCGAAAUAAAAACAGCUAGAUUUAUAGUAUUGUGCUUGUAGAAUAAAGCUUUAAAAUAUAAAUCUAAAGAUGAUAUGUUAUCAGAGUUUUAUUAUAUCUAGUUUUUUUGGAAUGAAAUUUAAUUUUUAUUUUAAAUAUAAUAAAUUUAAAAUUUAAUUAUAGGAGGGAGUAGCUUCUUAUAAAACUAUAAUUAAGAGUUUUAUAAAUAAAAUUGUUUAAAACUAGGCUUAAAAGCAGCCAUGUUAAAAAAGUGUUACGGCUUAUUAAUAACAAACUACUAUUUAUGAAUAACUUUGAAUAAAUACGAAAACUUUCUACAAACUAAAAACGUGUGAGCGAUAAUAAAUUUAUUAGUACAAUAUAAUGUAAAAAAUUAAAAUAUAAUAACUAAAGUAAUAAAUUGAUUAUAAUUUUGAAAUAUAAAGGAACUCGGCAAAUUAUUUUCUUGCCUGUUUAUCAAAAACAUGUCUAUUUGAAGAUAUAAAAAGUCUAAUCUGCCCACUGAAAUAAUAAUUAAAGGGCCGCAGUAUUUUGACUGUGCAAAGGUAGCAUAAUCGUUUGGUUUUUAA
rnacentral:rRNA from 1 species